rnacentral:ncRNA from 1 species
UUGUUUGAGGGUAAUAGGGAAUCGGGUGAAAAUCCCGAACGAUCCGGUCACUGUGAUGGAGGAUUCAUACGCAAUAUGUCAUUGGGCGAAAGCCUGAGAAGGCGCGGAAUGGAGAUGAUGCCAGAGUCAGGAAACCUGCUGGGAAAG